rnacentral:tRNA from 1 species
GCCCAGUUAGCUCAGUGGUUAGAGUGCUUGCUUGACAUGCAAGAGGUCGCUGGUUCAAAUCCAGCACUGGGCACCA